AUUGAACGCUGGCGGCAUGCCUUACACAUGCAAGUCGAACGGCAGCAUGGAGAGCUUGCUCUCUGAUGGCGAGUGGCGAACGGGUGAGUAAUGCAUCGGAACGUACCGUGUAAUGGGGGGUAACGUAGCGAAAGCUGUGCUAAUACCGCAUAAUCCCUAAGGGGAAAGCGGGGGACCGUAAGGCCUCGCGCAAUUAGAGCGGCCGAUACCUGAUUAGCUAGUUGGUGAGGUAAAGGCUCACCAAGGCAACGAUCAGUAGCUGGUCUGAGUGGACGAUCAGCCACACUGGGACUGAGACACGGCCCAGACUCCUACGGGAGGCAGCAGUGGGGAAUUUUGGACAAUGGGGGCAACCCUGAUCCAGCAAUGCCGCGUGAGUGAAGAAGGCCUUCGGGUUGUAAAGCUCUUUUGUCAGGGAAGAAACAGCAGCUCUAACACAGUCCGGGAAUGACGGUACCUGAAGAAUAAGCACCGGCUAACUACGUGCCAGCCGCCGCUGUAA
rnacentral:rRNA from 1 species